UACGUAGGGGGCAAGCGUUGUCCGGAUUUAUUGGGCGUAAAGAGCGUGUAGGCGGCCAUGCAGGUCCGUUGUGAAAACUCGAGGCUCAACCUCGAGACGCCGGUGGAAACCGUGUGGCUAGAGUCCGGAAGAGGAGAGUGGAAUUCCUGGUGUAGCGGUGAAAUGCGCAGAUAUCAGGAAGAACACCCGUGGCGAAGGCGGCUCUCUGGACAGUUCCUGACACUGAGACACGAAGGCCAGGGGAGCAAACGGG
rnacentral:rRNA from 1 species